GAUCUCUUCUCCCUCUCUCCCCUCUCUGGCCAUCUGGGCGCGCUCCUCCGCGCCUCUAGCCUUUCCACCGCGCUCCAGGCCCAUCCCCGCACCAGCCUCUCUGGGAUCCGACGGCGCCGCGGGUGUAGGCAGGUGAGUCGGCCGAGCCCCGCCCGGGCAGGCGCGGAGGCAGGAAGCGCUCGCGCCAAUCCCUCUCCUGAACCCUGCCCUCACCCCCCACUCACCGGCGCCAGGGGGACGCAGGACGCGUGAGCCCCUUCGCGCCCCCAGCGCUGUCGGCGUCGCUGCCCCAGACAGACACUGCCCCGAGAGGCCUCACAGAGGCGGAGGCUGGGGGCGGCGACCCGGAGCCGCCUCAGCCCUUGCCUUGGGCGCCGUCACCUCAGUCCCCAGAAGCCUUGGGCUCCUGCAGUCUACGAAAAUGCGGAGGACAGCGUGGUUCCGAGAGAGGGCGCCAAAGGCGACUUACGGGCGGCCAGCUCCAGGCCGAGCCCAGAGCGCCUGCAGGAACCUGCCCCUUCACCCGGCGCGGGACGCAGAGCUGUGCCAGAAUCUUGUUCAGCGCGGACUCAACGCCAGGGCGCCGCCUAGAGGUCGGUCUCUGUCUCGGCCUCACCCGCCGGGAGACCACAGAGCUGCUUCCCCAGCCGCCCGCCGCCAGAAAUUGGAAAAAAAAAAAAAAAAAAAAAAAAAUCCAGCUGGGGUCUAGGAACUCGGCUUCUGGAACCUCUGACUUCUCCGAGACUGCCUCCUCCCUCCCCGACACAUAAGGAACCCCUUUAAGGGAGACGGGCUAGGAAGUCCCAGAAAUAUUUAUUCUUGUGACUCUUCACAAAAUGGAAGAGGGUCUCAAUUCUGGUUUCUUUAAGGAUCUUGUGUUUUGCGUCUGUGUCUACGCUGCCUCCUCUUAGCAUCCAAAUUGUCCAGCCCCGCGCCCCACUCCAAUUGCACUAGAACUCUGUUUUAUCUUCAAUGAAGAAAGAGAGCAGGGAGAAGCUGCCUCUAAACCCUCCAGCUUAGCCAUCAAUUUUCGGAAUAAUUUGGAGAUCAACAUGCUUUUGGAAAAGUGUUUGGAAAACGUUUGGGAGUGAAAAGAAACGUUGCCUAAAUGGCCUUUACUCACUGAGUGACCAUCAUCUCAGCUAGUGUAUGAGCAGCACCAGCACCCCAUCCAUGGGUGCCUGUGCUGAGCCUGUGAAAGUUGACUUCUUUGGCGUGCCCUCGGAAGGACACAGCUGGUAUCUAUGGGAACGGCUUUGGGGUGUCCUUUGGCACCAAGCGGAGAGUUUUAUUUUUUUUAACUGGAAUCCAUGGCCUGGGUUCUUCAGAUGGGGUAGGGGAAAGCCACAAAGCCCCUGAAAUGUAUGCAAAACAUAUGGGUGUGCAGGUGCACCAUCCUAAGGCUAUGGCCUCCUCAGUUUUCCCAAAGACUCUAAGACUAUAAAAGGUUUCCUUCUCCUUUCCUUAGCCAGGGAGCCACAGAGACCCAGGCCAUCAAUAGUCUAGGAGCCAGCACACUGGCUCCCACCAGGUGCCUGGGAGGCGAUGGGUAAUAACACUCUUGAAUGGUCUGUAAACUGCUGGCCCCUCAGUCCUGCCCUCCUCCCAGAGGGAAAUCCUGAUAGAAGGAGUGAUAGCCAGUAGCUGGCAUCUCAGUAUUUUGAAUAAAAAUAUAGCAUGAUAAAGAGCAAAUGCGGGAGGCUGGAGGGCCUCCCCAAGCAAAUCCUGGAAUAUGAAUAUUGGCCAGAAAUAAGAUAAUUCCAGCUGUUAAAGAGCACCUCAUUUCCUUCUUCUUGGUGCUAGGAAGGGGCCAGAGAACACUCCCCACAAAACCAUCACCCACCUCUGGAGAGCUGGGGCAGAGCGGAACUGCCUCCAGCAGAGUCAGCCUUUCAGAAAAUUCAAGAACGGUACUGCCUAGUAUUUUCCCUGCCAGUUUAAUUUUUUUUUUAAUCAAAUUUUAAAAAUCUCCAGCAGCACUUUGGUGCCUUUUCUUGGGGUGAGGGUGUGGAGUUGGCUGGGUUGGGGUUGCACCUGUGUGUAUCUAUGGGAAGGGGUGUGCCUUCAGUGCACUAAACCCCCUCCUGGGCCCACAGCUGGACCUCACUCAUGUACCUGAACACCCUGCCUGAGACUGAGCUAAUCUGAGCCAUCAAUUGUGUCUUAGACCUGAACGCCUGGUGUUUUGGGGGUGAAUAACUGUGAGGCAGGAUGAAGAACCUUUUGCUCUCCCACCCAGAAGGGCACCUAACCAGGCUACUGUAGCAGACAAAAGGAGCAGGAAGUCGAUUAUUUCUCUCUCAGUUCUCUGAAGCCCAAGAUGAAAAGGGAUUUUCCUUCGUUUUGGUUCACAGAGGCCUAGUAGAGAAUUUGGAUUCCACGAAGUUUUGAAAAAUGUAAACGAUCCAGAGCAGACAAGAACUAUGGAAACUUGA